CGCCAUCGCCUGGUGGCGGACACGAGGGGUGCCGCUUCCCCAGUGGCUGUGCCGUUUCACGAAACCGGCGUCGGCGGAGCCGGGCGGCCACAGCCACUCACUUGGCAGCGUCCAGCCCGUCCCGAUCCUGCAAACCACGGACCCUGAGAGGGGCCCCCCGGACCCCGAUGCGGAGACAACGCGGCUGUUGCAGGAGGAGGCCUCCCCGCCGACGCCCGGGGCCCAGACCCGCCCGGGACCCUCAGCCGACCCCGACCCCGACCCCGACCCUGAGGCAGGAGCGGAGCUGCAGGUGGAGGUUGUGGGAGGCGGCCGGGCAGCCCCAGAGCCGGCGCCCCCGACUCCGGCUGCCGCUGCCCCCGGGGCCCUGGCCUGGGCUGAGGUAGCCGCCGGCCUCCAUCCUGUG